GUAGGUGGCAAGCGUUGUCCGGAAUUAUUGGGCGUAAAGCGCGCGCAGGCGGUUCUUUAAGUCUGAUGUGAAAGCCCACGGCUCAACCGUGGAGGGUCAUUGGAAACUGGAGAACUUGAGUACAGAAGAGGAAAGCGGAAUUCCACGUGUAGCGGUGGAAUGCGUAGAGAUGUGGAGGAACACCAGUGGCGAAGGCGGCUUUCUGGUCUGUAACUGACGCUGAGGCGCGAAAGCGUGGGGGAGCAAACAGGAUUAGAUACCCUGGUAGUCCACGCCGUAAACGAUGAGUGCUAAGUGUUAGGGGGUUUCCGCCCCUUAGUGCUGCAGCUAACGCAUUAAGCACUCCCGCCUGGGGAGUACGGCCGCAAGGCUG
rnacentral:rRNA from 1 species